UGGCUGCCCCUGGAUCCCUGGAAGUGUCCAAGCCCUGGGGUAGUGGAAGGUGUCCCUGGGUGAGGCUGGAUGAGCUCUUGGUUCUCUCCAACCCAACCCAUCCCACGAUUCCCUGAUUCCAUGCUGAGCACAGUGUGGAAGUGCCUGGAGCAGCAGUGAUGGAGUUACAGGAGGUUUUAGGGACAUGAACACACCCAGCCCCAGUGAGGAUGAGGAGAAAAAAGGGACAUGAUGUUGUCCUGGGUCAACCCCAGCCCUCAGUACCCCCCUCUCCCUCCCCAGGGGCAGGAGAACAGGAAAGAACAGGUGAACGUGGGUUGGGAUAAGAAAAAUUUAAUAAUUGAAACAAAAUAAUAAGAGCAGCAAUACUAAUGCUAACUACUAGUACUAAAAUAUAAAUGUUGUUAAUACAGUUAUAAUAUACAUACAAGAAUAAUACAGACAAUGCUACAUUAUACAUAAUAAAUUACAUAAAUGCAGUAUAAUAAAUACAGUGAUAAGGAGAGGGAGAUGAACAGACCCCGGGUGGAACAAGUGAUGCCCAGUCACUCUCCCACCACCCCCUGACCAGUGCCCAGCAGUAACUGCCUCCCAGUUUCUGUCCUGGGCAGGACAUUCUGUGAGCUGGGACCCCUUUGGCCAGUCCUCCCCCAAAUUCUCAUGCCCUGGCAGAGGGGGGGGCACUGAAAUGUCCUUAAUUUGGGGCGAGCAACCCCCAGGACAUCUGCCUGUUGCCAUCAUCAUCCUCACCCUAAAUCCCAGCUCCUGGGGACAGAACUCUGUCCAGCCCGAGCCAGGGGGGUGCUGGGGACCUGCUGGGGGGCUGUGCUGUGUGUGACCCCCCGUGUGCCCCCCUGUGUGCCCCCCUGUGCCCCCAGAGUGUGAAGGGGGUGAUCGAGUGCCUGAAGAUCAUCACCCGUGCCAAGUCCCAGCGCANNNNNNNNNNCCCAGCGCAUCGCCAAGUUCGCCUUCGACUACGCCACCAAGAAGGGCCGGGCCAAGGUCACAGCCGUGCACAAGGCCAACAUCAUGAAGCUGGGGGACGGGCUGUUCCUGCAGUGCUGUAAGGAGGUGGCAGAGCUGUACCCCAAGAUCAAAUUCGACACCAUGAUCAUCGACAACUGCUGCAUGCAGGUGAGCCCCCAAACCUGAGCCCUCCUGCACCACCCACCGCUG
rnacentral:lncRNA from 1 species